rnacentral:rRNA from 1 species
UACAGAGGGUGCAAGCGUUGUUCGGAAUUACUGGGCGUAAAGGGCGCGUAGGCGGGAUGGCAAGUCGGUCGUGAAAUCCCUCGGCUCAACUGAGGAGCGUCGAUCGAAACUGCCGUUCUUGAGGGUUGCAGAGGAGACUGGAAUUCCCGGUGUAGCGGUGAAAUGUGUAGAGAUCGGGAGGAACAUCUGUGGCGAAGGCGACUGCCUGGACCAGCACUGACACUGAGGCACGAAAGCGUGGGGAGCAAACAGG